rnacentral:lncRNA from 1 species
UCAUAUCUUAGAGUAUUCUCCUUCCACCAUGGAAGGUUAGAGAUCCCUUGUUGUGCAUUCAUAUGCCUACAUAACUAGAUAGCUUGACCCCAACAAUGCCAUGGACACUCCGAGGGAAUGCCGUUGACAUGAUUAAAGAUCAAGGACCUAACCAUUAGACAUCUAUGAUGCCUCAAGUCAAAGGACUACUUUGCAUAUUGCAACUUUAGAGUUCAUACAUGACAUGUAUGUUCGAACUCUCUUUUGAUCG